CACCAUGCCCAGCAGCUGUCUGGGCAUGCUGGGAGUUGUAGUUUUGCAACAUCUGGAGGGCUACAGUCUCAGACUGUAGCCCUCUAGAUGUUGCUAGGCAACUUACCGGCUUCCGUCGGAUCCAGGGAGCCGUCCUCUUCUGCUGCACGACAUCGCCGCCCGCGCCGAUCACUGCCGCCGAUCCCGUCCUGCAGCUUCCACCGACGGAUCACAUGCUUAAGUUAAAAAGAAAAAUUACUUUUGGCCUACAUGCCAAACUUAAGGAUUCCAAGAACCAAGAGAUGAAAUAAAAGGACAAAAGAUAAGUUUGAAUGUAGUCCAGGAGGAACUACAUGAGACACUGACUUCUCUGUAAAAAAUUCAACAAGAUGCUUAUCUACGCAAUGAUGCUUGUCUGGUGGUAGUAAAUCUUGUACAAAAUGAUUAACUAUGGUAACAAGG